rnacentral:rRNA from 1 species
AUGUACACAUUAUUUUGUCUAUCCAACAAGCAAAUUUCCACGACAAGCAAACAAUUCAAGCACCAAAUAGUGCAUGAACCACAUCAGGAGGAGAGGAGAGGGACCAAACAGCGAGGUCACUUGCCUUUUAUCUGCCGGCAACCAUAUCAGUCAUUGUCGCCGUCGCCUCCUGCUGCCUCGACCACCAUUGUGGAUCAGCAGCGUCUUGCACUGCACUAUCAUAUUCAUGUAUUUACUCUAAUAAAGAGAAUUUUCAUCAUACAAGGAUGUGCUUCUGCAACUAACAUGCAUCUACAGAAGACCCUAUAUAGUAUAUGUGAUCAAAUUUAUUCCUCUCCAAUGUCCAUAAUUGCCAUCUCCUCCCUAUGUUCCUAA